UACGGAGGGGGCGAGCGUUAUUCGGAAUUAUUGGGCGUAAAGGGCUCGUAGGCGGCCAACUAAGUCGGAUGUGAAAUCCCCAGGCUUAACCUGGGAACUGCAUCCGAUACUGGAUGGCUUGAAUCCGGGAGAGGGAUGCAGAAUUCCAGGUGUAGCGGUGAAAUGCGUAGAUAUCUGGAGGAAUACCGGUGGCGAAGGCGGGUCUCUGGGCCGAUACUGACGCUGAGGAGCGAAAGCGUGGGGAGCGAACAGG
rnacentral:rRNA from 1 species